CAGCAGCCGCGGGAAUACGAAGGGUGCAAGCGUUAAUCGGAAUUACUGGGCGUAAAGCGUGCGUAGGCGGUGAGUUAAGUCUGCUGUGAAAUCCCCGGGCUCAACCUGGGAAUGGCAGUGGAUACUGGCUCGCUAGAGUGUGUCAGAGGAUGGUGGAAUUCCCGGUGUAGCAGUGAAAUGCGUAGAGAUCGGAAGGAACAUCUGUGGCGAAGGCGACUAUCUGGGCCAACACUGACACUGAGGCACGAAAGCGUGGGGAGCAAACAGGAUUAGAUACCCCCGUAGUCCCUGUCUCUUAUAC
rnacentral:rRNA from 1 species